rnacentral:misc_RNA from 1 species
GUAUCCAAAAUUGAUCACC